UGACAAUCCGGCUGAGGCUUGACGUGGGAUGGGAGCCUGCCGAGCCAACCAGGGCAAGGAAACCUAUCGAGCCAGAUAGGGCGUAGAAGCCCGACAAGCCAGCUGAGGCACCGGACCAGACGUCACCACCAAGACCAGUAUCGGGGAGCCAGCACUCCCCGAUACUUCAAAUGGUGGCUUCAGCAUUCUGUAAGAACCGACGCUGAUGAUGAGAAGCAGGUACAGGGAGAGAACAUUUAAUUAAGAACGGACAUGGAACAGGACAGGAACAGCGUCAAAACAAGAUAACAAAACGACAUACGACAAUAAUGCUGAAAAGGGGAAACAACUUAGGGAACAGACAGAUAUAGGGGAGGUAAUGAAAACAGAUGAUUGAGUCCAGGUGAGGCCUGAUCACCCUCACUAGAAAGACUGAAGACAUUGUGGGCAGUGUUUUUAAUUACUGGUCCUCUGGGGCCUUUGGUUAUGGCGAAGUUGACCACAGAUGGUGUCUAGAUGCAUGACAGGGAUGAUUUGUCCAAGAACAGUGUGAACCUCAACCACCCUAACUGGCUGAAGAAAUGGCAUUCACUACAAUCUUGUCCUUCACCAUUUCUACCGUGACACCUGAGUCCGAGCCAGCAACAUGUACACAGCAUCCAGCUGCCUUUUCUCUCAUGCCUUUUCUCUCAGGAGUGCGACAUGAGUCCACAUGGAGUGAGCAUGGAGAGAGAUCCUGUCAACUUCUGUCAUGCUGCUGGUGGACUGUUAGGGACAAGACAAAAUGGACUGUAAAGGACAAUGGCAGCUCAGGUGAGAGCCAUUACCAAGGGCCAUCCACUUUGAACAUGUGCCAUUGGAAGAACGAACUGAAACACUAAAGAAGAACAUGAAGAAACACCAGAAGGAUGAGUGCCGGGAAACAGGGGGUGGACAACCAGCUCAGUGGUGAUCUCGCAAAUGAACACCAACCAGACAACAAUUGGAAUCCGUUUGGAUGGUUUCAGUCAUUGUUUGGUGUUAUAGGAGAUACAAUAUUUUAUUUGUUGAUUUAUGGAUUAGUUAUAUUUUUUACAAUAAUGCUUAUUAUAACUUAAAGAAAUUGUGCAGCAAAUCCAUUGAGACUAUUCUUGUCAUGCCAUUACUGACCCCAGAAGGAGAUGCCUCAUAACCCUAUUUACCUGAUUUAUUUCCUAUGUCUGAUUACAUGUCUGAUGAAGACGAUGAUAAUCCAUAACACUAAGGUAUAAAACAUUGAGUUAAUGGUGCAUCAUGUCCAUAUGCCAUGCUCAGGGUGGGGGUUAUGUGAAUGGUGCUCCCAAGGUAGGGUUAAGGGCCUACCAACAUGGUGACCCUGUGGCAAUAUGGACAGUCUCAACAAAGCGAUUCCCGUGUGUGGUGAUAACGUAUGUACUGAUGUUUAAAUUCAUUUCUUCCUUUCCCCCUUCUGAGAAUGAAUUGUACUAUGUGAAGGGUAGAAACUCAAUGACAACGUGGGUAAUUUACAAUUGUAAGAAAGUAUUUCCUUUUCCUUUUCCCUUAAGUUAAUGAUUGUUUAAUGAAAAUGCCUGUAAGUAAUUUUCUAUUAGGUUGAGACGUAGUCUCAAAAGGGAGGAAAUGUCAUGGAAAAAUCCAUAUUUAGUCAUGCUAUCCCAUGUUUUACUGCUUAAAGAAUAGUCUCUUGUUAUAUGCUCAUGUUUUUGUAACCUUAUACAAACUUGUCUUUGUGGGACUUAGUCAUAAGACUGGGUGUAUAGCUAAGGUCCGUUUGGGUGCGGCGACCGCAGCAUGUGACAUCCCGUGAGUUUACUAUCUACAGAAAGUCACAUGUAUCGAAACUUGCAGAAAGGAGCAAAUUACAGUAUUUGUUGUUGUGAAUGCAGUUAGACGGUCGAGCCCUCUGGCUAUCAACCUCGUGCUAUCUUAAAUCUGCACAGACAACUAAUUGCAUUUUACACACUAUCUGCUGACUGCCACGUAUUAAAAAAGGAUGUGCUUCUCUAUAAAAGCUGAGAACCGACACUGUUCGCUGAGCUUUUCAACUAUGCACUGUUGAGUGGAUAGUUGAUUCUCCAUUUUUGCAAAUCUUAUAAUAAAGUAUUAUUUAAAAUAAUCUGCAGUCCCUCUCCCCUUUGAUUAGAAUUGCCACGACAAGGGCCAAGUACUGUUUUAUUCCGAAUACAAGUCUGCAACUUAACACAAUGUUGGACUAAUUACACUUAGCACUUACCCUAUGCAACUGCCCUUACCCUGCCUAUUUGCUUGUAAAUAUCCAUUUCUAUUUUUUUCUUUUUUAUAUAUGUGAUAUUUUUUAUGACUGCUGCAAAAUGAAUUGCCUCUCCGAGGACAUUAACAUUUUCUGAAUCUGAAUCUUUAUUCCAUAAUGGAGAGAAUGAUAUUCACCUAAGGUAUACAUAUGCAUGUCCCCAAAGUGAAGCCCACAAUGAGCUGAUGCUGAAACUUGUGAAAAAUGACCCAUUGAGAGUUCCCUUAGCUCCUAAAGUCUUCAUCAAUCCAUAUUUAAAGAACAACUGCCCCUAAAAGAAACAUCUCAUUUUGAAAAUGGCCUAUGUGGCAUCAAUAUGAGUUAAGAUUGACCUCAAAGUGUAAAUAGGUUCAUUUUGGUCAUGAGGUAAGUCUCGUCCCAAAACUGAGAUUUGCGAGAUGAAAAGAAAAAAUGGUAUGUCAAGGAAUGAAGAGUACCAUGGGUUGGGUUUAUUUUAGUACUGCCCACAGCUGGCAGCACCCAAGUAAUCAUAAAUUCGGAGAGCAACUGCAUGCGACCCAAUCGUAAUGCCCAUAGUCAAUUUGGUUUGACAUUCAACAUCCCUAUGGGGCUAGUUAGGGACCAUCAGUAAAUUACACAAUGUACAUGUGACAAUAUUCAAGGUCAAUAGCUCCAAAUUUCAAUGACUUAAAAAACAAAAAUCAACUAUAAAUUGUAGAAAUUCAAUUACAAAUAUUGAAAGAUUUAACUAAAAGAUGUGCAACAUGAACAUAUUGUCCCAUUUACAUUGUGUAAUUUGUUGACGGUACCUAACUAUCCCCAGAGCUAGGCUAUCCAAAGUCAAAACCAACUUUGCCACAGUCGCACACCAGCCGGCUGAAGCUAAAUGGCUAAAUAAUUUGUCUAACUCUUCCCACCUGCGAACACCUGCGA